UACGUAGGGACCAAGCGUUGUUCGGAUUUACUGGGCGUAAAGAGCUCGUAGGCGGCUUAGUAAGUCGGGUGUGAAACCUCCAGGCUCAACCUGGAGACGCCACCCGAUACUGCUGUGGCUAGAGUCCGGUAGGGGAGCGUGGAAUUCCUGGUGUAGCGGUGAAAUGCGCAGAUAUCAGGAGGAACACCAGCGGCGAAGGCGGCGCUCUGGGCCGGUACUGACGCUGAGGAGCGAAAGCGUGGGGAGCAAACAGG
rnacentral:rRNA from 1 species